rnacentral:rRNA from 1 species
GAUGAACGCUGGCGGCGUGCUUAACACAUGCAAGUCGAACGGAAAGGCCCAAGCUUGCUUGGGUACUCGAUUGGCGAACGGGUGUGUAACACGUGUGUGAUCUGCCCUGCACUUCGUGAUAAGCCUGGGGAACUGGGUCUAAUACCGGAUAGGACGAUGGUUUGGAUGCCAUUGUGGAAAGUUUUUUCGGUGUGGGAUGAGCUCGCGGCCUAUCAGCUUGUUGUUGGGGUAAUGGCCUACCAAGGCGUCGACGGGUAGCCGGCCUGAGAGGGUGUACGGCCACAUUGGGACUGAGAUACGGGCCAGACUAGUACGGGAGGCAGCAGUGGGGAAUAUUGCGCAGUGGGCGGAAGCCUGAUGGAGCGACGCCGCGUGGGGGAUGACGGCCUUCGGGUUGUAAACUCCUAUCGCUAGGGAAGAAGCGUUUUUGUGACGGUACCUGGAGAAGAAGCACCGGCUAACUACGUG